rnacentral:tRNA from 1 species
GCCGUUGUAGUUCAGUGGUAGAAUACCGUCUUGGUAAGACGGUGGUCAUGGGUCCGAUUCCCAUCAGCGGCU